rnacentral:rRNA from 1 species
AGCAGCCGCGGUAAUUCCAGCUCCAAUAGCGUAUAUUAAAGUUGUUGCAGUUAAAAAGCUCGUAGUUGAAUUUCGGGGUCUAUCCGUUGGUCGGGCUUUUGGGUCCGUACUGGCGUUAUGGAUUCCUACCUUCUGAAUAACCAGCAUGCCAUUAAUUUGGUGCGCUGGGGAAGCAGGACUGUUACCUUGAAAAAAUUAGAGUGCUUAAAGCAGGCUAUUGCCUGAAUACAUUAGCAUGGAAUAAUGAAAUAGGACGGCAUGGUUCUAUUUUGUUGGUUUCUAGGAUCACCGUAAUGAUUAAUAGGGAUAGUUGGGGGCAUUAGUAUUCAAUUGUCAGAGGUGAAAUUCUUGGAUUUAUUGAAGACUAACUUCUGCGAAAGCAUUUGCCAAGGAUGUUUUCAUUAAUCAAGAACGAAAGUUAGGGGAUCGAAGACGAUCAGAUACCGUCGUAGUCUUAACCAUAAACUAUGCCGACUAGGGAUCGGACGAUGUUAAUUUUUUAAUGACUCGUUCGGCGCCUUACG